UGGUGUUACAUUAAAAUAACUCCGACGUCUUCUUGGGUGAAGGUUCACUUGCGGUGACUCGGUUACGACCGCUGUCCACAACUUCUUUCCACUGUCUCGCCAACCAUGUCUGGUCGCGUUCUCGUCGGUGUCAAGCGUGUCAUUGACUACGCAGUUAAGAUCCGGGUAAAGCCGGACAAGACUGGCGUGGUGACCGAUGGCGUGAAGCACUCGAUGAACCCCUUCUGCGAGAUCGCCGUGGAGGAGGCGGUCAAGCUGAAGGAGAAGAAGCUUAUCAAGGAGAUUGUGGCGGUGAGCUGCGGGCCACAGCAGGCACAGGAGACCAUCCGCACCGCCCUCGCCAUGGGAGCCGACCGCGGCAUUCACGUGGAGGUGUCUGGCAAAGACUACGACAACUUGGGCCCCCUGCAGGUCUCCAAGAUCAUGGCUGCAUUGGCCAAGAAGGAGGAGGCCCAGCUUGUAAUUCUUGGGAAACAGGCCAUCGAUGACGACUGCAAUCAGACGGGACAAAUGACAGCAGCCCUACUGGACUGGCCUCAGGGCACGUUUGCGUCAGAAGUGACGCUGGAAGGCGACAAAGUGAAAGUGGUGCGCGAGAUUGACGGCGGCCUGGAGACCAUCAAGAUCAACAUGCCCGCUGUAGUCACGGCGGACCUCCGACUCAAUACGCCUCGCUACGCCACCCUGCCUAAUAUCAUGAAAGCCAAGAAGAAGAAAAUUGCAAACGUGAAGCCCUCCGAGCUGGGCGUGGAUCUGACGUCCCGCCUGGAAGUGCUGCAGGUGGACGAGCCUCCGCAGAGGCAGGCUGGCAUCAAAGUGGAGACGGUGGACGACUUGGUGGGCAAACUCAGGGAGACGGGCAGCAUAUAACGUGGUCAGAAAGCGAAUGGCGAGAAGAAUAGAACGGCAAGGUAAGUAGCAGGGGGUCUUUCAGGGAUUGUGCACACGUGGCUAAAGUACAAACUCCCAAAUCCAAUUAUUUCUUAUUAUUUUGGGGGUGGAAGGUGGGCUUAUUCUCGCCACAUCUCAUUCGUAUUUUACUCUUCUGAUUGUGAUUGGGGGCGCGUUCGGAAAUUCACUCUGUCCUAAAAAGCUAACUUAGCAUAUCCAACACAUCGUUUUUGUUUUUUGUUUUUUUUUUUAAUUGCGACUGCUUCUAAUUGAACGCAUGCCUUUUGUUUCUCUCUCACAGGACAAGUACUGAGAAACACUGCCCUGCUGCCGGUGCAGUCGCACCACCUCAUUUUUUUUUUUU